UACGGGGGGGGCAAGCGUUGUUCGGAAUUACUGGGCGUAAAGGGCUCGUAGGUGGCCAACUAAGUCAGACGUGAAAUCCCUCAGCUUAACUGGGGAACUGCGUCUGAUACUGGAUGGCUUGAGUUUGGGAGAGGGACGCGGAAUUCCAGGUGUAGCGGUGAAAUGCGUAGAUAUCAGGAGGAACACCAGUGGCGAAGGCGCCACUCUGGGCCGUAACUGACGCUGAGGAGCGAAAGCGUGGGUAGCAAACAGG
rnacentral:rRNA from 1 species